AUUGAACGCUGGCGGAAUGCUUUACACAUGCAAGUCGAACGGUAGAGGGGGCAACCCCUCGAGAGUGGCGAACGGGUGAGUAAUAUAUCGGAACGCGCCCAGUCGUGGGGGAUAACGUAGCGAAAGUUCCGCUAAUACCGCAUACGAUCCAAGGAUGAAAGCGGGGGAUCGCAAGACCUCGCGCGAUUGGAGCGGCCGAUAUCAGAUUAGGUAGUGGGUGGGGUAAAGGCUAACCAAGCCAACGAUCUGUAGCUGGUCUGAGAGGACGACCAGCCACACUGGAACCGAGACACGGUCCAGACUCCUACGGGAGGCAGCAGUGGGGAAUUUUGGACAAUGGACGCAAGUCUGAUCCAGCCAUUCCGCGUGCAGGAUGAAGGCCCUCGGGUUGUAAACUGCUUUUGUACGGAACGAAAAGGUCUCUCUUAAUACGGGGGACUCAUGACGGUACUGUAAGAAUAAGCACCGGCUAACUACGUGCCAGCCGCCGCAGUAACAC
rnacentral:rRNA from 1 species